rnacentral:snRNA from 1 species
AUGCUUACUUCAGCAGCACACAUACUAAGAUUGGAAGGAUACAGAGAUUAGCGUGGUCCCUGCGCAAGGAUGACAUGAAAAUUCGUGAAGCGUUCCAUAUGAAA